CGCGGCCUAUCAGCUUGUUGGUGGGGUAAUGGCCUACCAAGGCGUCGACGGGUAGCCGGCCUGAGAGGGCGACCGGCCACACUGGGACUGAGACACGGCCCAGACUCCUACGGGAGGCAGCAGUGGGGAAUAUUGCACAAUGGGCGAAAGCCUGAUGCAGCGACGCCGCGUGAGGGACGACGGCCUUCGGGUUGUAAACCUCUUUCAGUAGGGAACAAGGCAUCAUUUUUGUGGUGUUGAGGGUACUUGCAGAAGAAGCACCGGCUAACUACGUGCCAGCAGCCGCGGUAAUACGUAGGGUGCAAGCGUUAUCCGGAAUUAUUGGGCGUAAAGAGCUCGUAGGCGGUUUGUCGCGUCUGUCGUGAAAGUCCGGGGCUCAACUCCGGAUCUGCGGUGGGUACGGGCAGACUAGAGUGAUGUAGGGGAGACUGGAAUUCCUGGUGUAGCGGUGGAAUGCGCAGAUAUCAGGAGGAACACCGAUGGCGAAGGCAGGUCUCUGGGCAUUAACUGACGCUGAGGAGCGAAAGCAUGGGGAGCGAACAGGAUUAGAUACCCUGGUAGUCCAUGCCGUAAACGUUGGGCACUAGGUGUUGGCGACAUUCCACGUCGUCGGUGCCGCAGCUAACGCAUUAAGUUCCCCGCCUGGGGAGUACGG
rnacentral:rRNA from 1 species